rnacentral:rRNA from 1 species
GUGAGUGAAGAAGGGUUUCGGCUCGUAAAGCUCUGUUGGUAGUGAAGAAAGAUAGAGGUAGUAACUGGCCUUUAUUUGACGGUAAUUACUUAGAAAGUCACGGCUAACUACGUGCCAGCAGCCGCGGUAAUACGUAGGUGGCAAGCGUAGUCCGGAUUUAUUGGGCGUAAAGCGAGUGCAGGCGGUUCAAUAAGUCUGAUGUGAAAGCCUUCGGCUCAACCGGAGAAUUGCAUCAGAAACUGUUGAACUUGAGUGCAGAAGAGGAGAGUGGAACUCCAUGUGUAGCGGUGGAAUGCGUAGAUAUAUGGAAGAACACCAGUGGCGAAGGCGGCUCUCUGGUCUGCAACUGACGCUGAGGCUCGAAAGCAUGGGUAGCGAACAGGAUUAGAUACCCUGGUAGUCCAUGCCGUAAACGAUGAGUGCUAAGUGUUGGGAGGUUUCCGCCUCUCAGUGCUGCAGCUAACGCAUUAAGCACUCCGCCUGGGGAGUACGACCGCAAGGUUGAAACUCAAAGGAAUUGACGGGGGCCCGCACAAGGCGGUGG